CCACCGACCUCACCUUGACUUCCUACGUCUCCGGGCCACCAAACGCAUCGGGUGAAGUCCUUCGUCCUUCUGCCGAUCACUGGAACGCAGAUCAAAGAGGAGUUCAGAAGGAUAACAACAGUUCAUCUGGAGCGAACCUUUUUGUCAAAACUGGACACACACACUCCCAAACUCCUGGAGAUAUUUAGGACAAAUCAGACCGAUGCUGGAUUCACUUGGCCAGCAACAUGUUGAAGGCAGAAGAGAUCUCAUCAUACGUUGCCUAAUGGAGUUCCUUGGAGAGUCAGGAGAGGAGCUGAUCAAAGACUGCCAGGUACAUUUUGAAAAUCUGGGAUUUUCUGAUGAUUAUUCUCACCAUAGUAAAUGUAUCUCUUCUCCAACCUAAUACUAUAACCUCUGUUCUUUGUGUAUUCAUGUAUUUACAUAAAUGUCACAUGUGCCA